rnacentral:rRNA from 1 species
UACGGGGGGGGUAAGCGUUGUUCGGAAUUACUGGGCGUAAAGGGCUCGUAGGCGGCCAACUAAGUCAUACGUGAAAUCCCUCAGCUUAACUGGGGAACUGCGUGUGAUACUGGAUGGCUUGGAUUUGGGAGAGGGAUGCGGAAUUCCAGGUGUAGCGGUGAAAUUCGUAGAUAUCGAGAGGAACACCGGUGGCGAAGGCGGCCAACUGGACUAAUACUGACGCUGAGACUCGAAAGCGUGGGGAGCAAACAGG